rnacentral:miRNA from 1 species
CAUCCCCUGCCUCUCUUCUCC